rnacentral:rRNA from 1 species
CGUAGGUGCGAGCGUUAUCCGGAAUUAUUGGGCGUAAAGAGCUCGUAGGCGGUUUGUCGCGUCUGUCGUGAAAGUCCGGGGCUUAACCCCGGAUCUGCGGUGGGUACGGGCAGACUAGAGUGCAGUAGGGGAGACUGGAAUUCCUGGUGUAGCGGUGGAAUGCGCAGAUAUCAGGAGGAACACCGAUGGCGAAGGCAGGUCUCUGGGCUGUAACUGACGCUGAGGAGCGAAAGCAUGGGGGAGCGAACAGGAUU